rnacentral:lncRNA from 1 species
UGAACAGGAAGACUCACCCUGACCGCCAGCCAAUACCCAGAGUACAGGAUAUCAUGGACAGCCUUGGAGAAAAUUCCUGGUUUUCACCCUUGGAUCAGGGACAAGCAUAUCACUAGGGGUUCAUGGAAAAGGAAAGCAGCCUUUGUGACCCCAUCGAGCCUGUAUGAGUGGGUUUGUUUUCAGUAUGGACUCAUGGAUGCACCAACAGCCUUCCAGCGCUUAAUGGAGGAAUGUUUGGAUGGCUUGAGAGAUGAGAUCUGUGUCCCGUAUCUGGACAACACCCUCGUCUUCAGCAAGAACUUUGAGAUCCAUGUCAACUAUUUUAGAAAAGUACUACAGAGACUAAGAGAAUAUGGGAAAAAGCUGAAGCCCAGCAAGUAUCUAUCCCCUGCCUUUCGACACAGUGAACCAUCAGAUCCUCCGCUCCACCCUCUCAGGGCUGGGUGUCUCAGGCUCUGCACACUCUUGGAUAACAUCCUACCUGGCAGGCCGCUCCUACCAGUUUCCCGUGUGUAUCAACAAGGGUCCACCACCCAAAGGACAUCCAGCCAACAACUGUGGCAAGCAUUAGAGUCAACGUGGGCCAGCAUCUCUUUGGAAUGCUUUCGACACCUUGUAGAAUCAUGUGUUAACACAGUACACAAACAUGGAGUACAUAUAUAGUGCCAGGAGAACUGUCUGCUGAUGAGAAGGUGGCCUGGUUACAGGGUAAAUGGAAACAAGAUGUGGCGGCCCCGCACUCCUUUGAAGGUGUUCCACACCAUACCUCUGAAUCUGUGGAGGAGAAUUUAGACCUUUUCCAAGAAGGCCUGAUGAAAGAGUUACCCGGACGACUGACCCUCCUUCCAGAGAAACUUGGGUCAUCACAUGGCUGAGAUAGGACUCUGCCAAGGAGCUUCACAACAACCUACUCCACAUUUCACCCACAUCACUCCCUUGAACCAACACAUCUUUAGUAACUCAACAUAAGAUAUAUGGCAUGUGUGUUCCAAGAACAGAGAGAGAGUCUGGUCAAUCUCAAGUAAUGACACAGAGGAAAAUAUUAUUAAUUUCUAAGAUGGAUGGAUGUCAAUAAACCAGAUGCUUUUGUACAUGUAAUAUUGAACAGUAACCUUCCAUAAAACCAUAUAUUUCCUGGUAGACCUGAGUAAAAUAAGUUAAACCUUGAGAACUACUUGAGAACUCAAAAUGAUUCGUUAUGCCUCACAAUCAGGGGCGAAAAUCUGAUAUCCACUUUGGAGGGGACAAUUACAUGAAAUUUUCUCAAGAACAAUUCCUGAGGGGGACACCAAAAGUAGUGCUGUAACACAUAGCCUACAUUGUAAUAUGGUAAAUGUAUAUUGAGGAACCAAAGAAAUAAGGUGUUUGCCGUACUCCUAACUACCGGUACCCAAAACUACACAACUAAUCACAACAGCAAUACCAUUGCCUUUAACAAAUCUUAGUUCAGUCACCAGUUUAAGUUGAGAGUGGGGGUAUCCAUGGCAUUUUCCAAUUAUGUUCCUAUUUUACAAGUAAAAAAAAUUGAGAACCUUUCAUAAUGUUGCCAAACAAAGACUCAACAAACUUACCUGAGACUCCCUGUCUCUGCCAGUCUGUCCCUGCAUAUCUGUCCCCAACUCUGCUGUCUGUGUGCCAUCUGUUGCCUGCUCUGCCUAAUGACAUCAUUGUGAAACACAUUUACAUUUACAUUUAAGUCAUUUCCAUUAGAAUUUCAUUUCUUUCUUAUGAACAUUUUAUCAACUAGACUUUGAGAUAUUAGGCUACUAGGGUUCUUACUAUGCGUUUUGGUGUAUUGAAAAAUACCCUGAUGUCCGUCUUUUAUUUUUCUGCCAUUUUUCUACCUGGCUGGCUGGCUACACACACACACACAGUGUGUAGGUUAUUUACAGUAGGAGAUGGGCUUCUAUCAUCUUCAAACAUUCUAUAUGGGCUUCGAUCUAAAAGGUAGCUAGCAAAUGUGAAACGGAUUAAAAUGACAAGAGUUGACAGCUGUAUGAGUUCACCAUUUACACAACAUAUGCUGCAACCUUUCGUAAUUUUAACAGUUUGUUUCAUAUUGGCUGGCUUCCAACAAUAGCUGAAUUUGCAAAGCUAGUGAGCACCAAUUCAGUUUCAGUGGUGUUUGCUAUAAUCUUUGCUACCAGGGUUAAAUAAAAGUGAAAUAAAAUAAAUAAAUAAAAGUUCCCUUGCGACAAUUUAGCUUUUGCAACGAGACCAUUAAAUAUAUUUAAGACAAUGGUAGAAGAGAGUGUAGUUCUGUUCAGUUUGGACUUCAGUUUAUCGCUAACCUUAUCACAGGGACUUUGAAGCACUAACUUACAUCAUCUGCAUGCUGAUUCCAUCUUUGACGACGCCACAUAAAUGGAAUAGGUACUAGCUAGCUUAAUAGUUAAUAUUUGCGUGCUAGCUCUGCAUAUUCAGCUAGUGUGUGUGUGCGCGAUUGACUGGAUGAACCUCACGGCAGUUACGUAGCAAGCUAAGGAACUGGCAGUGGAUCAAACCAUUGUGAGGCAAAGGGCGGGGGGGUCGCAAUCUUUUGAAACUUAAAAACGCGCUAUUAAGUGUCUAUAAUCAGCACAAUUGCUUUCAUUGCGUAUUAUUAAUAUUAUUUAAAUUACAUAGUUAUGUUUCAGUGAUAUAUUGGGGGGGGAUAAAUCAUAUUUUUCCCAGGAUGGGGGGGUCGUGUCCCCCCCCGUCCCCCCCGGGAUUUCUGCCCCUGCUCACAAUUACCAUUAAAAUCAAAUCAUAUUUUAUUAAUCACAUAAUUCAUAAACAACAGGUGUAGACUAACAGUGGAAUUCUUACUUAUGGGCCCUUACCAACAAUGCAGAGAGAGAGAAAAUAGAGAAAUGAUAGCAAAGUUACAGCACAUAAUAAUCAAAGUAAUAAUAAAUUGUCACGUUGUCUAAUUAUUGGAGACAGGCGCAGGAAUACUAAUAGGUUUUUUUAUUUUCUCCAUCCAAACAGAAGAGCGAGGUGGAAACCUCUAAAUAAUACACGGGACGAGACCCGUAAAACAAGUGCACAAUAACAUGUAUCAUGGAAGCCAAUACAAUAGCACAGGUACUCACAGGACCAACGGAAAUGGGGAACAGAGGGCACAUAAACUCAGCAAAAAAAACCACCCCUUUUUCAGGACUCUGUCUUUCAAAGAUAAUUCGUAAAAAUCCAAAUAACUUCACAGAUCUUCAUUAUAAAGGGUUUAAACACUGUUUCCCAUGCCAGUUCUUUGAACCAUAAACAAUUAAUGAACAUGCACCUGUGGUCCUUAAGACUUAAGACGGUAGGCAAUUAAGGUCACGGUUGUGAAAACUUAGGACACUAAAGAGGCCUUUCUACGGACUCUGAAAAACACCAAAAGAAAGUUGCCCAGGGUCCCUGCUCAUCUGCCUGAACGUGCCUUUUGACCCUCCCUUUGUUCAGGGACACAUUAUUCAAUUUCUGUUAGUCACAUGUCUGUGGAA